rnacentral:piRNA from 1 species
UGGGAUUACAGGCCUGUGUUAGCAUAUCC